GUUUUCAUGCUCAUCCGACACAUUCAAAAAUAUGACUGGAAAAAAUCCGGAAAAAUAGGAAAAAAUGUGUUUAUCUCAAAUUACGUGAAAAGUUAACAUUCAGAAAUUAUUAUACCGACAAGACUUUGUGAUGUACCAAGAAUCAAGUUAUAAAGGCACGUUAAGAUGAUUUGAUAUGUUUCCAGUGCUUCAAAACUGUGCGCUAAUUAAACAGUUAUAUAAUGACCGUGCUUAACGAGUCAAUCGAUUUAUCACCGUGCAGUGUCACAUUCUUAUAUUUCAAGAGAACUUCAGUCCUCGGAAAUGGCUUUUUUCUGUUUUCAUCUCCAAUAGUCUUACUCUUAGGAUUUUAAUAUAUUGUGUUACAGGCAUAUUCUUGUACAUUAAGUUGACAGCCAAUAGACAAGACAAUACUUAAUCUGCUUUACAAAAAAUGUUUUCCAAAUUUCUGCCUGAUAAUCCGGAUGAUGAACCACCACUUAAAGUAAGGUGUAUAUCAUGCUAUAAAAGAGAAAGACUUUUAGAUUUUGGAGAUCUUAAAGUGGCAGACCACAUAUGCAUGAGCGGACAGCACAGCGUUUUUAAUAUUUGUGGCCAGCAAUGGUCGGCAUACACUCAUCAUGCGAUUGUUAAAAAAGUUGAUGUCAUUUGUCCGUCAAGUGCGAUAGUGACUAUGAUUCAUUUUUACACAACACCAUUCAGUACUACGAUCAAAAUACGAAAAACUACAAAUUUCUUAGAUUUGCAUUUAAACGAAAUUCAUAUUAUUCGAUACAGGCAUCAGACAAACCAUGCAGAUGUUGUCUUAAAAAGAGCAGAGAAACUUAAAGAAAACACUCGUUUUGUAUCGUAUUCCAUAUCUAAGCGUAACUGUGAAUCUUUUUGUAACUUUUGUUGUAUUGGAAAUGAAAGCAGCUUUCAAGUAGAGAAUGUCAAAGAGCUUUUGUUUGAUAUUUUUUGGCAGCAACUGCUAAAUUAUUUGGACAGUUUAUUUUACCGUAUGGCAUACGGCAAAUUACAUAUGCGCGUUUUGUCUUUGUCACGUGUUCUGAUCAGUGUGCGUAAAUGCUGGUCCAUUAUUGGUAAAUCCUUGGUCAUUUAUCGUGUAAUUAAUGGUAGUUUCAAAGUAGAGCAUGUCAUAGAUAUUUUGCGUGAAUUUUUAUGGAAACAGCUGAACAAUGCCUUGUACAGUUUACUUUACAGGAUCACAGGUCGCAAACUUUCUUUGGACGUUUUGCUACCUGUUCGGAUCAAUUUGCGUCACGCUUGGCCCAUUCUAACUAUUUUCUUCGUCGGUUUUCGCUCCUAUGAGAUAUACAAAUCUAUG